AUGUCCAGUCCUCCGGCGCUUCCUGCAAGACCUUCAAUUCUGGGGGUGGAGAUGUGGCGUCCGCAAACCCCGGGUGUCGCACACCUCCAUCGAGUCCAGCCUCCGCAGUGCCACGGCGGAAUCCUGCACGACAUUCAGUUCUGGGGGCGUGGGCGUGUCGUCGGCAUGAGUCUGCGACAAGACGCCGGCGGUCAUUCGAGCUGCGCCGUGCAGUCCUUAGGCCACAACGGUCCGGCUACGGGCAACACCACCAUCCGCGUUGGCUGGAAGCGCAGGCCAAGAGGUUCUCGUGCGCCAGACGAGACGGCUGUAGUAGUUGAUCGCGUUUUGCCGCUUGAAGCUGCCAUUCGAGGAUUCGCUGGUAGGGGGACUGAGGUGGUGGUCAACACGGCGCUUGGCACAAUUUUUGAUUCGCUGGCAGAGGCGUAUGAAUUCUACAAUCUCUAUUCGUGGGAGGUGCGGUUUGGGAUUCGAUACGGCAAAAGCAGGCAAAAUGUCAAUUGCACCAAAUGUAUGCAAGAGAUUGUGUGCGGCUGCGCUGGCAAACCAGAGAGGGAGAACAGUUGUGACAUGUGA
rnacentral:rRNA from 1 species